rnacentral:rRNA from 1 species
AGGUUGAAGGUUGGGUAACACUAACUGGAGGACCGAACCGACUAAUGUUGAAAAAUUAGCGGAUGACCUGUGGCUGGGGGUGAAAGGCCAAUCAAACCGGGAGAUAGCUGGUUCUCCCCGAAAGCUAUUUAGGUAGCGCCUCGUGAACUCAUCUCCGGGGGUAGAGCACUGUUUCGGCUAGGGGGCCAUCCCGGCUUACCAACCCGAUGCAAACUGCGAAUACCGGAGAAUGUUAUCACGGGAGACACACGGCGGGUGCUAACGUCCGUCGUGAAGAGGGAAACAACCCAGACCGCCAGCUAAGGUCCCAAAGUCAUGGUUAAGUGGGAAACGAUGUGGGAAGGCCCAGACAGCCAGGAUGUUGGCUUAGAAGCAGCCAUCAUUUAAAGAAAGCGUAAUAGCUCACUGGUCGAGUCGGCCUGCGCGGAAGAUGUAACGGGGCUAAACCAUGCACCGAAGCUGCGGCAGCGACACUAUGUGUUGUUGGGUAGGGGAGCGUUCUGUAAGCCUGUGAAGGUGGCCUGUGAGGGUUGCUGGAGGUAUCAGAAGUGCGAAUGCUGACAUAAGUAACGAUAAAGCGGGUGAAAAGCCCGCUCGCCGGAAGACCAAGGGUUCCUGUCCAACGUUAAUCGGGGCAGGGUGAGUCGACCCCUAAGGCGAGGCCGAAAGGCGUAGUCGAUGGGAAACGGGUUAAUAUUCCCGUACUUGGUGUUACUGCGAAGGGGGGACGGAGAAGGCUAUGUUGGCCGGGCGACGGUU